rnacentral:lncRNA from 1 species
ACGGAGGCGCAGGCGACGGGGGCUGGGGCGAAGGCGGGCGCGGCGACGGAGGCCGGGGCGAUGGAGGCGCAGGCGACGGCGGCGCAGGCGAAGGCGGAGCAGGCGGCCGAGGGGACGGCGGCGCAGGCGACGGGGGCUGGGGCGAAGGCGGGCGCGGCGACGGAGGUCGGGGCGAUGGAGGCGCAGGCGACGGCGGCGCAGGCGAAGGCGGAGCAGGCGGCCGAGGGGACGGCGGCGCAGGCGAUGGGGGCUGGGGCGAAGGCGGGCGC